rnacentral:tRNA from 1 species
AUCUAAAUAGUUUAUUAAAAUAUUGACUUGUGGCGUCGAAGAUAUAAAAUUAUUUAUUUUAGAUC